rnacentral:rRNA from 1 species
AUUGAACGCUGGCGGCAGGCCUAACACAUGCAAGUCGAACGGUAACAGGAAGCAGCUUGCUGCUUUGCUGACGAGUGGCGGACGGGUGAGUAAUGUCUGGGAAACUGCCCGAUGGAGGGGGAUAACUACUGGAAACGGUAGCUAAUACCGCAUAACGUCGCAAGACCAAAGAGGGGGACCUUAGGGCCUCUUGCCAUCGGAUGUGCCCAGAUGGGAUUAGCUAGUAGGUGGGGUAACGGCUCACCUAGGCGACGAUCCCUAGCUGGUCUGAGAGGAUGACCAGCCACCCUGGAACUGGGACACGGUCCAGACUCCUACGGGAGGCAGCAGUGGGGAAUAUUGGACAAUGGGCGCAAGCCUGAUGCAGCCAUGCCGCGUGGGUGAAGGAGGCCUUCGGGUUGUAAAGUACUUUUCUCGGGGAGGAAGGGAAUUAAGUUAAUACCUUGGCUUAUUGACGGUACCCGCAGAAGAAGCACCGGCUAACUCCGUG